UCGUCAUAUGAGUGAAUCUAAUGAUUAAUUGCUUGCCUACAACACAAAAGAAGUUUUUGAGGAUGAUACUAGGGAACCCAAGUGAAUUUUACCCAAAACCUUCCCUGAAAAUAAAUAAAUAAGUUCGAAUGUCAAUAUUUCAAUAGCUUUGAUAGAAGAGAGACAUAUAUGAUCACUCCACUAAGUCAAGCAACAUAAAACUGCCAAUCCAUCUUAAUAACCCACUUGCUCAGCCAUGCUGCUAUAAAAGAGGUUUCUCAAUUUGUCAUAACAUCUAUCUGAGAUCUCCAAUUGUCCAAUCAUUGUAAAUUGCUAGUAAGGACUGAGUACUUUUGACUCCCUUUAAAAUGUUGAAGAGAUUGCUAUAAGUAAUCCUAAACAAUGUGUUAAAUCCAAAAUUAACUAUCCACCACCACCAGCAACACAUAAAAGAAGAAAGAAAAUACAAAUAAAUGAUCAAAAGUACCAUAAACUGCUAAAGGCUAGCAAAUAAAUCAUGUAAAGGCUACUUAUAUCGUUCCCACCACUAUUCUAUUUCCAAUAAAUCCGAACAAUAAUAGUUAUAAAUAUAUUCAGUGAGCUAAACUAUCAUUUGCCUCCCCACUUCUGUCCAAAAUAGAUAAACUUCUCCAAUUCAUCCACCAUGUCCAUUUCAUCUCAACUGACCUUUUAAUGAAAUCAUGCAGAACUUUUAGGUCCACUCUCUGCAUAGCUUCAAUGGUGCAAGUAAAUAACUACAGGUAGUACAGCACAGUACACCCUUAUUUAAGUGCUCCACCAAUCAUUUGCAUUGCAAGCCUCCUCCAAAUAGAAAUACACAAUCAGCUUAAAAACCACCAGCAGCAACAAACUUUAUGAUGCCGUUACAAUUUAAUAAACAAUCACCUAGACAAUAUAUAAAACCUUCAAUGCAUGUAUCUACUUCUACGCUUAGCACUUCCUUUUAAAGAAAAGAGUCAUAAACAUCUGCCACAAUCUAGUUCCUUUAUUAUGAAGACAGCUUAACAAUAACAGCAAUUUUACUGGGAGAGGUGCAAUAAGAUUAUCACAAGCACAGGAAAACAUAUUGCACGUAGAGUUUGCUUAUAAACCCAAGGAUCCACUGCACAUCACAUCAAAUCCAUCAAAGACUUUAAUCCUUCUUGGUCUUUCUUUGUAGAAGUAAUGUUUUUACUAAUAUCAACACUUUCUAUGUAAUAGUAAGGAGUUACUGUCAAACAGUUUUAACUCUACAUUUUGAAUUUGAAGCAUCUAGCAAAAAUACCAUGUUAUAACAUGAAUGUGUCUGAAAUGAAACGCCAAAAUUGACGUCAAGCUUAACUAAUAGCAGAACUUACAGGCCAAUAACAGAACAAACCCAAUGUAUUUCAUCAUCUCCUAUUCUAAGUACCUGUUUGGCAUUGAGUUUGGAGGUAAAAAAGUGUUUUUCAAAAAAAGCACCAUUUUAGAUGCCGUUGAAGAAAGCAGUUUGGAAAAAAAUUGUUUUGGUGUUCUUAUAACUAAAUUAUGUCAAAAAUAAUUUUUAAUUUUUUUUUAAAUUUUUUUUAAAAAGGGCUUUUCCCCAAUGCAAUUCUAACAGCAAUGUCAAACAGGCCUAACUGCUUACGCCUAUUUCUCACAUAUUCCCACAUUUAAUCUCAAUUUUCUCUACAAAGUUUCCCUAUGACAAAAGAUCUAACUUUUCACUUCCUCUUCAACCAGAAGUUAUACUUCAAACUUCACUGAUCCUAAAUUAUCAAUAUUUGCUAAAUAUCACAUUAUCCACCUCCAAAACCUUCCAUUGACCUCGAGAGAGGGAUACCCAAAGAGGCAAAAAUCUAAAGCAAUCCAAUAUAACAAACCCAGGUUUUAAAAAUCCUCUUACUUUUGGGAGCGUGAAGAAAUACAAAAAUCCAAACUACACAACACAG
rnacentral:lncRNA from 1 species